CAGUACUACAAAAGGUUUAUUUAAAGUUUGUGAUAAUUGUGACUAAUUAUAUUUGAUAAAAGUUAUCUGGGGUAGCUAGGUGCAUUGUAGCACCUUGUAUCAUUUUUUGCAACACUGUAACAUAAGUUCUUGAAGAGACACACCAGCUCACACAUGGAAUGCACCAGGCACUGAAUAUUGUAAAAUAACCUGUCAAGUUAACAUUAUUGAAAUGUGUGACAUCAGUAAUUUAAAUCAGAUAGUCAUCCCCACCACCCACACACACACAAACAAGAAGACAACAUGUGCAAACAUUGUUACAUUACAUUUUACAUUGGUAAACAGGUCUAUGUUCAGUGAUGAUAGUGAAUAUUGAAAAAUGACUAGUUGACUAGUAGGCUAUAUAACCAGUGUUGUGCACGUUCACACCUCUCAUGAACUAGUUCAAAGUUCAGUUCAUACAAGUAAACAUGAAUCGUUCACAUUCAUAGUUCACCAUUUAAAUUCUGAACUAGUUCAUAGUUCAUAGUUCAGUUCAUUUUCCUUUUUUUUUUUUUAUUAUUGCUAAUUUUUCAGGAGGACAUAAUUUGCACAGAAAGGUGAGAUUUUUACUGUCGGAAACUUUAUCAGACAGUGUGUAAAAAUCCUGCACAUAAUAAUAAGGUGGAUCGGAUGUACUCGCUGAGUCUGCGUCUCUGUUUUCGCUUUCACUUGCCAUUUUUAUAUUGAGACCGAGAGCUGUUGCCUUGGAAUACGUUGCUUGUUUGGUACACAUGUGUGUGCGAUGAUUCAUGGGUAAUGUAGGGCGAAGUCGAGUUAGUUGGUUUAGGUAGGCUAUCGCAGAAAUUAUACGGGUACUGUUAUAGAGGGGGUUCGGGAAAUGUGUAAUCACUGAGGGUCAUCCAAUUAGAAUGGAAAAGAAUGGAGACUUGGAUAAUCAGUUUGAUUCUUCACUCUUUGUAUUGCAUUAACAACAAUGAAUGGGAUAAAUUGUAGGUGGGUUUAUGUUUGUGUGUGUGUGUGUGUGUGAUAAAGUAAAGUACAAACAGAAAAUAUACAUUAAUACACAGCCCUGUAGU
ensembl:lncRNA